rnacentral:rRNA from 1 species
UACGGAGGGAGCUAGCGUUGUUCGGAAUUACUGGGCGUAAAGCGCACGUAGGCGGCUUUGUAAGUUAGAGGUGAAAGCCCGGAGCUCAACUCCGGAAUUGCCUUUAAGACUGCAUCGCUAGAAUCCGGGAGAGGUGAGUGGAAUUCCGAGUGUAGAGGUGAAAUUCGUAGAUAUUCGGAAGAACACCAGUGGCGAAGGCGGCUACACUGGACCGG